GAGUUUGAUUAUGGCUCAGAUUGAACGUUGGCGGCAUGCUUUACACAUGCAAGUCGGACGGCAGCACGGGUGCUUGCACCUGGUGGCGAGUGGCGAACGGGUGAGUAAUGCAUUGGAACGUACCGAGUAGUGGGGGAUAACUGUCCGAAAGGAUAGCUAAUACCGCAUACGACCUCAGGGUGAAAGCAGGGGACCUUAGGGCCUUGCGCUAUUUGAGCGGCCAAUGUCUGAUUAGCUGGUUGGUGGGGUAAANGCCUACCAAGGCGACGAUCAGUAGCGGGUCUGAGAGGAUGAUCCGCCACACUGGGACUGAGACACGGCCCAGACUCCUACGGGAGGCAGCAGUGGGGAAUUUUGGACAAUGGGCGCAAGCCUGAUCCAGCCAUGCCGCGUGUCUGAAGAAGGCCUUCGGGUUGUAAAGGACUUUUGUACGGGAAGAAAAGGUUGUGGAUAAUACCCAUGACUGAGGACGUACCGUAAGAAUAAGCCCCGGCA
rnacentral:rRNA from 1 species